GGAUGUGAGGGUGAUCUGGCUGCGACAUCUGUCACCCCAUUGAUCGCCAGGGUUGAUUCGGCUGAUCUGGCUGGCUAGGUGGGUGUCCCCUUCCUCCCUCACUGCUCCAUGUGUGUCCCUCCUGAAGCUGUGCGCUUGGUCCAAGAGGAAGGCCUUCCCCUAACAGAGACGGACCGGUCUUCAGUCGACAGUAUAAGAGUAGCUGCGUUCCCUGCUAGAACCUCCAAACAAGCUCAAGCAGGUCCUGAGUUCAAUCCCCGGCAGCACAUGUACCAGAGUGAUAUCUGGUUCUUUCUCUCUGCCU
rfam:Erinaceus europaeus unplaced genomic scaffold scaffold00089, whole genome shotgun sequence